ACUAAGUUACACAAAAAAUUACAAACUGGUAAACUAGUCUACUCUUCGAAGACAACAAGUAUCACCUCUAUAAAAGAUGUCGAAGACUUUGGUAUUUAUUCUCGUCGGAAUGAUCGCUCUUAGCAUCAUCCAAAUGUCAAGCUGCGAAAAAGAAGUUAGAUUUAAGUGUGAAGACACAGAAGGGGUGGAUUGUAGUGACAUAGCUGGCCACUGCGACGAAGAAAAGUAUGCUUACAAACUUUGGGAUUGCUUCAAAACAUGCAAAUUUUGUCAAGGUUGAAGACCCAUUUUUCUUUGUUCAAGAUUGUGACAUCUUCACUGGAUCAGAUUAGUUUACACUUUAAUAAACACAGCCCGCUUUGAAAUGUUAAUGUUCAUUUAUUCGCUGAUACUGUACUGACUACGUUAUAUGAGAGUUUCUUCUGUUUAUAAGAGAUAUCAUCAACUAUAUGUACGUCUGUAAGAUGUAAAGAUUAACUUUGUGAUGAAUAUGUAGUAUUACAUUUUUUAUUAGCAAAGCUCAGGAAAUUUUAACCAGUGAAUUUUAAACAUCUUUAAUCAUCACGUGCUUCCAUUUACCAAUAAAAGGCUUCCAUUUCGUUUGCAACACUAUAUUUUAAACAUACCUCUUAGAUCUUAUUCUCUUUGUUCAGUAUAGAUAUAUCCAAUGGAUACCUUUUGUGUUAAUUGCUUUGAUCGCUCCGUGUCUGUAAACCGUAAUAAAGUCACAAUAUAGAAGUAAAA